rnacentral:rRNA from 1 species
GUUUGAUCAUGGCUCAGAUUGAACGCUGGCGGCAGGCCUAACACAUGCAAGUCGAACGGUAACAUUUCUAGCUUGCUAGAAGAUGACGAGUGGCGGACGGGUGAGUAAUACUUAGGAACAUGCCUUUGUGUGGGGGAUAACUAUUGGAAACGAUAGCUAAUACCGCAUAACGUCUUCGGACCAAAGGGGGCUUCGGCUCCCGCGCAAAGAGUGGCCUAAGCGAGAUUAGCUUGUUGGUGAGGUAAGAGCUCACCAAGGCGACGAUC